AGAGUUUGAUCAUGGCUCAGGAUGAACGCUGGCGGCGUGCCUAACACAUGCAAGUCGAACGAAGCAUUUACGGAUGACCCCUUCGGGGGGAUUUUGUUUAUGACUGAGUGGCGGACGGGUGAGUAACGCGUGGGGAACCUGCCUCUGCCAGGGGGAUAACAGUUAGAAAUGACUGCUAAUACCGCAUAAGCGCACGGAACCGCAUGGUUCGGUGUGAAAAGCCGAGAUGGACAGAGAUGGACCCGCGUCUGAUUAGGUAGUUGGUGAGGUAACGGCCCACCAAGCCGACGAUCAGUAGCCGACCUGAGAGGGUGACCGGCCACAUUGGGACUGAGACACGGCCCAAACUCCUACGGGAGGCAGCAGUGGGGAAUAUUGCACAAUGGGGGAAACCCUGAUGCAGCGACGCCGCGUGAAGGAAGAAGUAUUUCGGUACGUAAACUUCUAUCAGCAGGGAAGAAAAUGACGGUACCUGACUAAGAAGCUCCGGCUAAAUACGUGCCAGCAGCCGCGGUAAUACGUAUGGAGCAAGCGUUAUCCGGAUUUACUGGGUGUAAAGGGAGCGUAGGCGGCGGUGCAAGUCAGAGGUGAAAGCCCGGGGCUCAACUCCGGGACUGCCUUUGAAACUGUACGGCUGGAUUGCAGGAGAGGUAAGUGGAAUUCCUAGUGUAGCGGUGAAAUGCGUAGAUAUUAGGAGGAACACCAGUGGCGAAGGCGGCUUACUGGACUGUAAAUGACGCUGAGGCUCGAAAGCGUGGGGAGCAAACAGGAUUAGAUACCCUGGUAGUCCACGCGGUAAA
rnacentral:rRNA from 1 species